rnacentral:rRNA from 1 species
GAAACUACAAAUAGAAUUGACGGGGCCCGGCACAAGCAGCGGAGCAUGUGGUUUAAUUCGAAGCAACGCGAAGAACCUUACCAAGACUUGACAUCCCCUGACAGCUGUUGAAAGGCAGUGUCUCUUCGGAGCAGGGAGACAGGUGGUGCAUGGUUGUCGUCAGCUCGUGUCGUGAGAUGUUGGGUUAAGUCCGCAACGAGCGCAACCCUUAUCCUUAGUUACCAGCACGUAAAGGUGGGGACUCUAGGGAGACCGCCGGGGACGACUCGGAGGAAGGUGGGGACGACGUCAAAUCAUCAUGCCCCUUAUGUCUUGGGCUACACACGUGCUACAAUGGCCGCAACAGAGGGAAGCGAGAGCGCAAGCUGGAGCAAAACCCUAAAAAGCGGUCCCAGUUCGGAUUGUGGGCUGCAACCCGCCCACAUGAAGUCGGAGUUGCUAGUAAUCGCGAAUCAGCAUGUCGCGGUGAAUGCGUUCCCGGGCCUU